UCCGGCUUGUCGCCGGCGGUCCCUUUAGAGUGCCCAACUUAAUGAUGGCAACUAAAGGCGAGGGUUGCGCUCGUUGCGGGACUUAACCCAACAUCUCACGACACGAGCUGACGACAGCCAUGCAGCACCUGUCACGGGCCCUUACGGACACUGCAUUUCUACAGCUUUCCCCGUGAUGUCAAACCCAGGUAAGGUUCUUCGGGUUGCAUCGAAUUAAGCCGCAUGCUCCGCCGCUUGUGCGGGGACCCGUCAAUUCCUUUGAGUUUUAGCCUUGCGGCCGUACUCCCCAGGCGGGGCACUUAAUGCGUUAGCGGCGGCACGGGAGGAGUCGACACCUCCCACACCUAGUGCCCAUCGUUUACGGCGUGGACUAC
rnacentral:misc_RNA from 1 species